rnacentral:rRNA from 1 species
AUUGAACGCUGGCGGCAGGCUUAACACAUGCAAGUUGAGCGGAGCGAGGGUGCUUGCACCUUAGCUUAGCGGCGGACGGGUGAGUAAUGCUUAGGAAUCUGCCUAUUAGUGGGGGACAACAUUCCGAAAGGAAUGCUAAUACCGCAUACGCCCUACGGGGGAAAGCAGGGGAUCUUCGGACCUUGCGCUAAUAGAUGAGCCUAAGUCUGCUUAGCUAGUUGGUGGGGUAAAGGCCUACCAAGGCGACGAUUUGUAGCGGGUCUGAGAGGAUGAUCCGCCACACUGGGACUGAGAGACGGCCCAGACUCCUACGGGAGGCAGCAGUGGGGAAGAUUGGACAAUGGGCGGAAACCUGAUCAAGCCAUGCCGCGUGUGUGAAGAAGGCCUUUUGGUUGUAAAGCACUUUAAGCGAGGAGGAGGCUACUUAGAUUAAUACUCUGGGAUAGUGGACGUUACUCGCAGAAUAAGCACCGGCUAACUCUGUGCCAGCCGCCGCAGUAA